rnacentral:rRNA from 1 species
UACGGGGGGGGCAAGCGUUGUUCGGAAUUACUGGGCGUAAAGGGCUCGUAGGCGGCCAACUAAGUCGGAUGUGAAAUCCCCAGGCUUAACCUGGGAACUGCAUCCGAUACUGGUUGGCUUGAAUCCGGGAGAGGGAUGCGGAAUUCCAGGUGUAGCGGUGAAAUGCGUAGAUAUCUGGAGGAACACCGGUGGCGAAGGCGGCUCACUGGCUCAUUACUGACGCUCAGGCGCGACAGCGUGGGGAUCAAACAGG